rnacentral:rRNA from 1 species
AUCAUCGCUCUUGUCGCAUGGUCCCUCUGGAAACACCAUAACGAUGUUCUACUCGACAACCUCCGACCGUUGAACAACGAGCUUGCUCGCAUAAUCAAGGAUGAGGCUCGCUUGUGGGCACGUCACGGAGCCAAAGGGAUUGCUUUAGUUAUUCCC